rfam:Gossypium arboreum cultivar AKA8401 contig_2870_7, whole genome shotgun sequence.
AACCCAUGGUGUGGGCACCUUCUCAAUAAAUUCCUAUACCUCUCCCAUGCAUCAUAUAAGGUUUCUAAGUCUAUCUUAACGAAGGAAGGGAUAUCAUUCCUCAACAU